AAGACAGCUUUGAGUUCAAUUGCCACAUCAGCGGGAGGAUCCUCCGAAUCACCACAGGUCAAGCUGAUGGCAAAGCUGAAAAGAAAAUCAUCUCACUUAUUCACGGCAUGCAGAAUUUCUAAUACUGUGGGGAGAAUAUGGCAUUGACGUCAAUUCGGCAGCCAUGUUAUGAGCAUUGUGCUGUGAUACCCUGGACCAAGAAGAGAUAUAUGAAAAUGCAUGGGUCUUGUCCUGAGGAAGGUCACAACUCACUCUGGGGAGCAAUGUAGAAUGCAGUGGGUAAGAUAAUAAAGGCCUCAGAUCUACAACCUGAGCACUGAGCGGGGAGAGUCACUCCCAUUGGGAGGAUUAAGGCAGCUGUCUGGAGGAACUGGCAUAUCUCUGACCACAAGCACGGCAGCCCCUUCCACCAUCCCACCAAAGCAAGUCUGCAAAGACUGCACAGCAGCUCUAUUCGUGGCCCGAAUUCUAAACGCACUCCGCCUGGUCUGGUCACCAGCUGAACCCCUGUUUCCAGAGGCUGGUUUUGUCUCCUGCCCUGGUCCGGGUAGAUAUGUGCCUUCUUCCUUUACACUGUGACUGUGGGCCCGGAUCCCUGAGGCCUGCCUUUGACUUUCAGACCACUUGUUUUCUGCGUAUAUAUACACAUUGGCAGCAGCAGGGUUUCUCGUCCUCAGUGCUAUUGAUAUUUUAGGCUGAGAAAUUCUUUGUGGUAGGGAGCUGUCCUGUGCAUUGUAGGAUGUUGAGCACUAGAUGCCAGUAGCUGCUCCCCGGAAAUGGUGACAGCCAAAAAUUCCUCAGACAUUGACAAGUGUCAAAUGUCCCUGACUGGGGUGGGGAAAACUUGCCCCCAGUGGAGAACCAGUUAUCUAAAAGGUGCUUUAAGAUUCCUGUUACUCAUAUAUAUGAUAUGAAAUCCAUCUGAUCUAAUCUGGAGUAGAAACUUGCACAUCAGAAACAUUUGCCUUUUUAUUUGGCAAGUCAUUGCUUCCUGAUAUUAUGGGAGCACUUUACAAAUGGUUCCACAGAGAACCCCCUACAACGAAGGAGGACCUGUGAGGACCCCUGUGGAUGUAGCUGGCAGCUCAAAAUGUCUGUAAUAUUGAGAAAUUUGUGUGACUUUUGCACUCUGUUCAACAGUAUCGCCAUGUUUAUUUUUGAUAUAAACAUAAUGUGCUCCCCACACCCAUAAAUACAGCAAAAUUAAAGCAUCUAAAUGUU